rnacentral:misc_RNA from 1 species
GCACUAUUGGAUCUACAUGUAAUGUAAAUAGUCAAUUCUAUAUGGGCCUGAUACGGUCGGUUUCUUUAAGUCUUCAUGGCUGAAAAUACUAGGGAUUAGUAAAGUUACUGUAAAGGGCGAAUGAGGAUGAAAAGAAUGUAAUAGGGCUCUUCAAGCAAGAAUACAUUUACUUUUGCAGUAAAGGCUGGAAAAGCUAGGAUUUCUUCUGCUAGUACCUGGCCAUAUCGUUCAUUUUGUAAAUAUUGUGGGGGUAGAGAGGGAGCGCUUGGUGCAUGAUCAUAAAAUACCAGAUUGAAUCAAUGUUAACAGAACUUACUGCCUCAAUUUGCUAAAUGUAGACAACUAUGUCUUUUGAUGGAUGACACUAUAGAAA